CCGGACGUUCGAGGGAGACGCGUCUCUCUUUCGUGGCACGUACGCGUCGUUCCGGUUACGCACGUUGCCUCCGUCGUGGUCGUCGUCGUGUCCGUCGUUACCGUCGCCGUCAACGUUGACGCAACGCGAUCGACUCCCGGCCGACUCGAUCGCGCGCGAUUAUUGUCCGGAUAAGAGACACUGACUACUGUGCUCUCGCUCGCUCGCUCGCUCUCUCUCUCUCUCUCACGAACUGGAGAGUGGCGUGUGCCGACCGCAUCGCACGAGGGUUGCAAACGUUACGUGCGAGCCAAUUGCCGGCGGAGCGCACGGGGGCGGGAACGGUCGUCGAUCUCGUCGAUCCCGCGGCACGUUCACAGUGUUUUGUUUAUCCGUGGUGGAGAAUCGGCUGCUGGAUCCUUCUAGUGCGUUACUCUGUGUGGCACGUGACGAUCGACGGUUGUUUGUAUUUGGUGCUUAACCGCCGCUGCUUCCCGGCGACCUGUUUUCUCAACGUUUCCCUCGACUGCGAGCCGCGCGUCCAACUUCUUGGGAGAUUGCCGGCGGUGCCGCACCGUUCUUCGGGAUUCGCCGGUGUGGAUCUCCGAAACAUGUAGUUGCGGCUUCCGGCGCACAACAGCCACCAAAAGCGAAGAUCGUCGCGGUGCAAGUCGGUUCAUCGUGAGACAGAGGGGCUGUGAUGAGGGAAGCCGGUUAAAGGACCCUGUGACGCGCAGGCGCCGGUAGAGGAGUACAGGAAAGAUGCUGCCUUCCUCGAGAGCUUUAUUAAGCCCGCUGCUGCUUCUAAUCAUCGCUGGAAGCACCGGUGCCUUCAGCUCCCGAC